AAGCUAUUUAUAUUGCGAAUGUGACAAAACUUACUUAAUUAGAGAAGGAGGGCACUGAAAGAUACCAGCUAUUCUCAAACUUAAGUGCACUCAAUCACUUGGGGGCUUGCACUUUAUAAGCGGCUAGUCCCAGCAGUAGGGCUGUGGUGGAGCCAGGAAUCUGUGUGUUUGACAAGCAUGUGGGGUGAUACAGACUUAUGGAGUUAACACAACCUCAUGAGAAACACUAUUUAUCUUCCAAUCCAUUAACACUUUCUCCUCAAAUGGUUUGUGCAAUGUUGUAAUUUGUAAGCCAGGCACCCUGAGGCAAGAUUCUGCUUAUUUGCAUUUUCUCCAAAAAGCAACCAUAGAUGUGAUAACAUAGAGUAAAUUUAUAAAGAAAGACAUACUUACAUACCAAUGUUACUUUCAAUAAUUUUCCUGAAAUCAAAUAAUAAGUUCAUUAAUAAUGAGAGAUUAUCUUAUUAACUGCUAUUCAUUAAAACAAGGAUAAAUCAUAAUAACUGGAUAACCACAAAUUUAGAUUCUGGGUACUGCGAGACAGAGGGUGAAGACAAAUAAAAUUUAUUUUAUAUUCCAGACCACACCUCAGUUUAACAAUAACAGUUUUUACAAACCUAUAACAUUAGGGUUAUGGGAUCACAAAGUUUUCAGAAAAAUUAUGAGACCUCUAGUUAAUUCUCAAACAUUUAUUAGCCUUAUGCACCUGAAAACAAGAGAGAGGUUUUGUUCCAAGGUCUAAAAUAAACAGGCCAUAUAAAUUUGACAGCUCAUUAUGAUAAGUAGAAAUGUAAGAAAUCUAAAGAAAUCAAGAAUAUAGGCAACAUUUAAACUACUACUUUGAAUUUGUUGUCUUUAAGUAAUUGGUCACUUGAAACUAUCACGCAGUGAAAUACACUGUGGAAGGGUAAAAUGCACUUAAUUGUAAAACUUCAAAACAACAUAACCCUGAUAAAUGCUAAAAAUGCAUUUACACCCUGCAGGGUAUAACAAAUAAGGCCAACCAAAAAUUCCUCAAAAUAUAGCCAUCAUUUUAAUCGAUUCACCAUAAGACUAAGCAAUGCAAUUAAUUCUCUGGCACUCAUGUGAGUUUUCUCCAGUGAAUCCAAGUGAACUCAGACAUCAUCAGGCAAUAUUUAUGUGCUUGGUACACAAAUAGCCUUGUCACUCAGAAACUGCCUCCUUAAUGCAAAAACACCAGCAUAUCUGUCUCAUUUCCAUCAUCCUCAGACAUGGCACGUGCAGUACAAUAAGGGUGGCUGACAGGGAACCGUAGUAACGCUGGCUGGUCUUUAACAGUCUGACAAGGACAGGUGGCAAUAUGGUGCUCUGAGAAUUACGGAGACCUCCAACCAUAAAGGAAACAUGCUAGAUAAUAUCAUUUUUCACCCAUCACUUCUGGGUCAAUUUGCAACAGUCAAAGCCCUCUUAAGUGACAUUCAUAUUAAAAAAAAAAUAAAUGUUUGCUGUUCAAAUUGGUUCCCAGAAUCAGUAGGAAAUAUGAUGUCACCUUGGGAGUAUUUUUAAUGUGCCACCCAAUUUCUAAAUGUCAGACUUAAAACAUCCAAGAAUAUUUUUCACUAAGUUUGCCUCAGCCAUAUGUAUUGUGAUAGAAGGGCAAUAAUAUUUGUUCACAAUAUUUUAACUCAUCAAAAUUAGAGAGGAGAUGCUAUUAGGAAAAUUCAGAAAUGCAGUAAGUUGGAAACCUAUGGCAAUGAGUAAUAAGGAUUUCAGACUUACUGCAAAUUCUGCUUAAGAUAUGACAUUCACUUAUGUAAAGGGAUUUUUUACACUAUUUCUUUGUGUAAUAUUUUAUUUUAACAUUUUCCAAACUCAUCUCGACCUGCCUGACUCUGAUUUUAGACUGCAAUGACAUUCUGGACAAAGUAGAGGUAUGAAUGCUGCUCCAAAGAGAACAUUUCUGUUUCAGUGAUUGGUCCAGGCCAGGAUGAUAACAGGAAUAGUCCCCGGAUUCUGCUCCAGUCAAGGUAAUGCCCAGAAAACCAAAGCUACUUUAUUAUUACUUUUUUUUUUUUUUUCUGGCUGCACCCGUGGCAGACAGAAGUUCCCAGGCCAGGGAUCAAACCCGCACCACAGCAGUGCACAAGCCAUAGCAUGAUAAUGCCAGAUCCUUAGCCCAAUGAGCUAUCAGGGAACUCCCAACCAAAGCUACUUUAGAUCAUUCUCAGGGUUGAGCAUCUUUCAAGGAGCUGCCUGAAGAUCUAAUGAAGUUAAUGACCUUAUGAGUCAUCCCAGAAAAGCUCAGGAAAUUACACACCCUCUCCAAACUAUGGUGCUCCCCCCAGCUGCUUGGCUGUUCACCAUUAAUAUCCAGGGCCUUGCCCAAGUUACUUGUGCACUCUGGGUGUCACCUCCCUGACCUGUAAAUUGUGUAUAUUGAUGAGCAUUAUGUAUGACUGCUUUGAAGAUAAAAUGUGAAAUGUAUUUAAGGACUUGACACGCCACCUGGAAUAUAAAAAGUACUUAAGUAUAGCAAAUACUGUUAACUAAUCAUUGUAAUUGUUAAUAUUUUGAUGUCCAUAAUGUCUGAUCCAUGGAAAAAUCUCCAUUUCCAGCAAAGAGUCAACACUGCUGUGGUGACAUUUUUCCUCUAUAGAGAAGAUAAAGCCAGACAACUUGGCAUGCGGCAUGUGUUCUAAAAUUGUAUAAGCUACCAAAGGCAAUGGAAAAGCAGAUGAGAGCAUUUUAAAAAUUAAAAUGCCUUUUGAUUGCUCUGCGUUAUGUCCUGUGUUGCAGAGAGGCACUGUCAAAAUCAGUAGCUUUAUGAAUGAUGGAUUUUGUACAGCAUAAAAAGGCAUGGCAAAGUAUAUUUCAAAUUUUGUUUUGAAAGCACUGAUUCCCAUACAUCUUUGAAAUUAAAUUUCCCUCAUGGUUCACCUUUAAACCUGUUACCCUGCUCUAAGAGAAAAAUAAGAAAAGGAAAAUCCGCCUUCACAAAACCAUUCAAAGGUAAACUGCCGAUAAACAUUAGAAAUCACAUAAAUGAAUUAUUUUAUGAGUCUGAUUUUUCUCUACUGAAUAUUCUCCUCCUUUUUGUCAUUAUUCCAAGUACCUGAGUGUCACUUGUAUUUAUUUUUUCCUUAUGCUUCCAUAAAUACAAUGAAAAGGCUAGUAUUUCUAACACAGUGCUUUGCUUCUGUUUAUCUGAUAAUGCAAUAACCAAGAUUUCAUUAUAGUAUAAAAAAUGUUAGUGAAAUGAAUGAACGGAAUGUCUGGUCUAAUUCUCUGCUUUCGUUUUUAUUAAUAUUACAUUUCCUAUAGGUUUUCUCGUCUUUGUGACCACUGCACUUGAGAAAUAUUGAGCAAUUCUUACUCAGAUUUUCUUAACUAUGUACCUUGCCUGCAAGCUGAAGAUACCAUUGAGUUUUUCUAUUGUAGGUUUGUGAAUUAUGUAUAAAAAGGGCAUUACAUUUUAGUAAACUUUGGCAUGGAUCCACUCAUGGGGAAUAAGAUUAAGGUGAAGUAGGAUGUUUUUUCACAGGGGCAAUUACUGCAUUCUCACCGUCACAGUAGAAAUCUUUUUUUUUCUCCAAAGUAUUACUAACCAGUUAUAGGAAACUGAUCCAGCAACUUGCCAUUCACAUUAAAAUAUGUGACUUUAUUUAUUAUUCUGUGUGGUGCAUAGUAUGAAAAAUGUGGGCUAUGAACUAAUCAUGGUGCUUAUUUGGGGUAUAUCAAUGAUAAUACUCAACAUGACGAUGAUGACAUGACUCUAGAGAAUGUCUGGUUGUUACCAUUCUGUCUUCAAAAGUUGAGGCAACUUUUUUUGUGUGUUUAAUUAACAACAUACAUUUGACUUAUUCCUUUCUUGAUUCCAAAAACUUAUACAGAGCACCACAUCUACUCUAGACACCCAGAAUUCCUUACGGAGUUUUCCAUGACAGUGGGUAUGUAAAAUAAAGUCCUGGAAGAGACGAGAAAUGUUUGACAUGAACUCUUGGCAAGAGGAGCAUCUACUAAAAUAAAACGGGUGUGGCUCAUGCAAGGAAGAGUUAGAGCAACUAAGCAGCAAAAAGGCCAUUUUCUACAAUGAGCAUGGGUAGGUACAAUGAGCAUUUUCUACAAUGAGCAUGAGUCCUUUGAUUACUCACUGUCUCAAUUCAAAAUGCUGGACUCUGCUGGUGACAUUAACUUGUAGACCCAACACUGGCCCUUAACUCAGAAAAAAGUAAUAAUAAUAAUUUGGCAACUUCCAAGUGCUGACAUCAGCAGCUCUCUUCUGGUCCUUCCCAGCUAAGUAAGAAAAUGUGAUCUAGUCCUUUUUUACCUUCAGACAUCUCAAGUCAGCUCCCUACAUAACAGCUAAUCUGGAUUCCUGCCAUCCUUGCUGUUUGACUGAGCCCAGGGGGUUCUGUAAGGAGUACCAUGAGAGAGUUCUCAUCACAUCCAAUAACAUUCCCAGUACACAUAUUUUGUAGCUUGAUAUACAGGCCUGGCAGAGAUAUAAAGAAACACUUGAAGAUAGAAUAAAAAGGAAAACAGAAACCCUAACUCAUUCAUUCAAUCACUGAAUAAAUACUGUUUUAAGGCAUUAAUUUUAAUAUUUUGGAUAAGGUGUUGCAGGGGUUAGUGAUAGAAGAGAAAUCACAUAAUAUAUGUUUUCAAGAAACUUCUAAUCCAAGAAAUAAUCUAACAUACAAGUUUAAGAAAACAUGGCACUCCUGCCCAUAUUCCCUUGGAUCCCUUCACCAGCUUUCUACACACCAGCUCCAAUGUGCUCUGACCCCCAACAUCAGCAUCUGUAGCUCCAUGUGGAAAGGCUCCUUUUGUCUAUACCAAUGGAAACUGCCAAGCACCAGAGAGAUUAUGCUGCCUUCCUAUCAUCAGCCCUUAGCCGACGAAUAAAGGGAUGAAGAUAAACACUACAGCCUCCUUGCCUCCUAAUUCGGACAACUCCAAAGUGUGCCUCAUCCUGUCUCAAGAGCUCUCCUGCAAGACUGAGUCAUGUUGCCCCACCUCUGGGGGAUUUUCCUGGAAAUCUCACCCUUGCUUUUCUUCCUUCCACGCCAUGUCUACUUGCCCACACUGCAACUGGUGUUUCUCCAGAAACACUUUCUAAUACACCACUUUCACGUGAAACCCAUUUCAGGAACAGCUUAUGAAGGCACAAAGCUAUCAAUAAGACCAUUUCUCCUAUUUCUAAGGGUGACUAAAAAUGAAUCAAAGAUGAAUGAGAUAGGUUUCCUAAGGGUUAAACAAAACGAUAGGACUUAUUGAACAAGUAGAGUAAAGGGAAACCAAGUUGUCAAACUCUCAAAAGCCCUUGAGUGUCAAGAAAAUGAGAUUUUAACUUUUUGAUAGAAAACAAGAAAUUAUUGGAAAGUUUAAGUAGAAGACACCAUGUCAAUUUUAGCUUGAAUAAUUCAGUAGAAAUAUCACUAAGUCUGAGAGCUUUUCUGUUCACUCUGGAUGUAACAUAAGUGAGACCUCUUCAAAAUUAGCAGAGAUGCUGUGCUUUACACUCCUUUCUCUCCAAAUAUGGAUGCUCUGUGGCCAACCAUCCAGAAUUCUGUCUAACCUGAAAUGGAGGUGCACCCUGAAAGUUAGCACACCUCCCUGGUCUCUGUCAAAAGAUUCCCAGUUCUUAAAUGGAAUGCAACACUGUGCUAACAUUCACACUUCAAAGUCACACACAAGUUGGCAUUAGUCUGUAGAUUCCUUGUCUCCUCCUCCUUGGCAUCUCAUUAUCCAUUUGUACAGCUAUUCAACAAUCCAAGCUAUAUGCUCCAGUACAGGUUUCUAAAGAAUCUUUCAUCUUAGCCAAAAGACAAAAGUAAAAUAUUUCCAGGCAUUGCUGAGUAUAGUUUCAUAAUCACUGUGGCAUACUCUUUGUGGCAGUAUUUCCACCUUCAUCUAACAGUACCCACCAUUAUAAGAGCUUUUCAACAAAGAAUAUCUGCUAUUUAUUUCUUGGCUACAGUUGGAGUUCAUUGUGCUAGGCAUUGGAAUGUUGUUUCCUGAUCAUUUAAAAUGGUCCUCCUGUUUGAAGGACUUGACACUUAUACCAGCAAUUCUCACUCUGACUGCACAACAGAAUCAUGCAAGAGCUUAAAAAAAAAAAGUAUGUAUAUAUAUAUAGUGUGUGUGUGUGUGUGUGUGUGUGUAUUCCUAGUCUCAAUCCCAUCCCAUCACCUAGGUAAUGAUUUUUUUUUCAAGCUCUUCAGGUAGUUCUUGAUGUGACCAGUGUAGGGAACCAUCACUUUUAGACUAUUAGGUCUGAAUUUUAGAUACAUCAGUUUUAAUAUUAAAAUCAAGAGUUCUGAGUGACAGCUGGUCCAACAGUUAAACACAAUGAUACAUCUGUAUAAUUCCUGACAGUUUAUAAAUAAUUUUCACAAAUACAAUCCCUAGAGACCAAAACUAUAUUUAUUUUAAUCAUUCUAAAGAAAAGGGAACAAACUCUAAGAAAAUUUUUAGGUGAUACACUCAAGGUCAUAUAAUAUGUAGUAGAACCAGAACACAAUUUUGAACUCUAGGCACAGAAUUCCAUCUACAAAGGAACAUGCCACUUGGUUUGAAGCAUUAAAACAUAAAAUCCAAGAGGGGAGGAAAGAGUAAAUAGGUGAAGCAUAGGAGAUUUCUGGAACAGUGAACUCUGUAUAAUACCAUACUGGUAGAUAUAUGUCAUUAUACUUUUGUCCAAAGCCAUAGAAUGAAUAACAGCAAGAGUGAACCUUAUUGUAAAGCAUGGCCUUUGGAUGAUUAUAGUGUAUCAAUGUAGGUUCAUCAAUUGUAACAAAUGUACCAUUGUGCUGGGAAAUGUUGAUAAUAGGAGAAACUAUGUAUAAAUAAGGCGGGUGGGGGGGUGGAAUAUGGUAAAUCUCUGCACCUUCCUCUCAAUUUUGCCAUGAACCUAAAACUGCUCUAAAACGUUGUCUAUUUUAAAAAUAUUAAUAAUAGUAACAUUAUUCAGAUCCCUUUGCUGAAUAGUAAAGCAAUUUGUGUACAUUAAUACUUAUUUUUUUGCUUGGCUGAAAUAUUUUAAUUGUGAGCUAAGGAGAAGGAAAUCAUCAUUAUCAUAAGAUUUAAUUCCUUUCUACCAUCUU
ensembl:lncRNA